GACGAACCGUGCGAACGUUGUUCGGAAUCACUGGGCUUAAAGGGCGCGUAGGCGGGCUCUCAAGUCAGGGGUGAAAGCCCACGGCCCAACCGUGGAAGUGCCUCUGAUACUGGGGGCCUUGAGGGGGAUAGGGGCGUGCGGAACUUGGGGUGGAGCGGUGAAAUGCGUAGAUAUCGUGAGGAAGACCAGUGGCGAAGGCGGGUCUCUGGACAGUUCCUGACGCUGAGGCACGAAGGCCAGGGGAGCAAACGGG
rnacentral:rRNA from 1 species